UCGAACCUAGCAAAUUUGUUCGGUUUCGUUGUCGUACAAAAACCUUCGGCACGUCAAAUUACAAGAGGCCGAGAUCGAGCUAAUAGCAUGUAGCUUCCGUGUAUCUGUAACAAAUACUAGUAAUUAUUAUUGAUCCCCGAGUUAAAUCGGGCGGCGCGGUCAAUCUCGGCCAUCGUCCCGGGGCUGAGAACGACGCUGUUGGAGGCGCACCACUCCAAGUAGGCCUCCUGCAUGGACAAUGCCGCCGGCGGCGGCGGUGCUGGGGAUGGCUGCCGAUCAUCCCGAGCAGGAGGAGGAGGCGGCGCGCGCGGAGGGGCGGCGCCGGUGAGCCUCUGCACGGUGAGGGCGAAGUCCUGCGGCGGCACCCGGUAGAGGUGGUCCUGGGCGGGAUCCCGCCGUGUCCUGCUCCUUGCCGCCACCGGCGGCGUAUGUGUCACCGGCGGUCCCUGCCACUGCUGAUUAUUCUCCAUUGCUUGAUCUGGAGACGAGGCUAGCCAAUUCGCUCUGUCGAUUAGCGGUGCGCGCGGUCAAGUGCUGGCGAAGCUUGGUCGUAC
rnacentral:lncRNA from 1 species